GAUGAACGCUGGCGGCGUGCUUAACACAUGCAAGUCGAACGGAAAGGCCCAAGUUUGCUUGGGUACUCGAGUGGCGAACGGGUGAGUAACACGUGGGUGAUCUGCCCUGCACUUCGGGAUAAGCCUAGGAAACUGGGUCUAAUACCGGAUAGGACGAUGUCCUGGAUGCGAUUGUGGAAAGUUUUUUCGGUGUGGGAUGAGCUCGCGGCCUGUCCGCUUGUUGGUGGGGUAAUGGCCUAGCAAGGCGUCGACGGGGAGCCGGGCUGUGAGGGGGUACGGACACACUAGGGCGGGGAUGCGGCCCAGACUCGUACAGGAGGGAGGACUGGGGAAUAUAGCACAAUGGGAGCGAGGCUGGUGCGACGAAGCCGCGCGGGGGGGAAGUGGCUUCGGGUUGUGAACUCCUCUCGCUAUGGAGGAGGCGUUUUUGUGACGGUACCUGGAGAAGAAGCACCGGCUAACUACGUG
rnacentral:rRNA from 1 species